AAAAAGUUUUAUUUAAGUUUUAUGGUUUUAUAUUAUUUAAAAUUAUAUGUGAAUUUUAUUUUAGAGGUAUUUUGCAGUAAUUAUAUUUAAAUAUUAAAGGAAUUUAGAUUUAGGAAUUAUAGUUAAUAUUAACAAAAUUUGUGCCAGCAGUUGCGGUUAUACAAAUAAUAAAAUAAAACCUUAUUAAUAAAAAUUAAUUUUUAUAAAGGAUAAAUUUUAAAUUUAAAUUUAUUAAGUGAAAUUUUAUAUUUUAAUUAUAUUUAUUUUUGUAAAUGAAGUUUAGAAAUUAAAUUUUUAAACUAGGAUUAGAUACCCUAUUAUUUUUAACGUAAUUUUAUUAUUAAAUUAUUAUAAGUUAAAAUCUUUAAAGUUAAAGAAUUUGGCGGUAUUUUAGUCUAUUCAGAGGAACCUGUUUUUUAAAAUGAUAAUCCACGAUUUAAUUUAUUUUUAUUAUAAAUUUGUAUAUCAUCGUGAUAAAGUAUUUUUUUAGAAUUAUAAUAUUUAAAAUUUUUGUAAAAAAAUUAAUCAGAUCAAGGUGCAGUUUAUAUAGAAGUUAAAAUGGGUUACAAUAAAAUAAUUUUUGGAUAAUUUUUAUUAUUAGAGAUUUGAAUUUGGAUUUGAAAGUAAUUUUAAUAAAUUAAUUAAUUUGAUUUUAGCUCUAAAAUAUGUACAUAUCGCCCGUCGCUUUCAUAAUAAUAUGAAAUAAGUCGUAACAAAGUAGGAUUACUGGAAAGUGAUUCUAGAAGAUC
rnacentral:ncRNA from 1 species